UUGUGCCUGGCUCCCUGUAUGCCACACAAGCAUAGCAAUCUAUGGUGAGAUUGCCUGCAUUGAUUGGCGUGCAAGGAGCCAAGCAUGC
rnacentral:pre_miRNA from 1 species